rnacentral:lncRNA from 10 species
CAAAUAUAGUUGUGAGACAGAGUAGCAAAUGUAAGAAGGUGCAUUUUCUCAAUUUGCUGGCCAGCAUAAUUUCACAAAGCCCCUGACACUGUGGCAAGUGUAGCUCUCCGGAGGGAUGCUUUGAAGACAUGGCAGGGUAGAGCACACGGCUCCCACAUCUCUUGCCUGGGUCGCUGUAUUCCAGAAAAGGUGGGGCUUCCCUUGGGCCCCAGAGGACCCCAUCUGGAGAUCAUUGUAGGCGAAAGGAAAUCGUUCUGGAGAUCAUUCUAGGUUAAAGGAAAGAGUUGCGCAAAGAAGAGGAAGGGAUGUCAAAUAGCAGGCACGGCGAGCCUGAGGCCAGUGUUCAACUGGAAUGGCAGGUGAUGUGGAGAAAUAGGCCCAAGGCUAUAUAUAUAUUUGUUGGUGUUGGCUUGUGGUGGCCUUGAAUACCAGGCUAAGGAAUUUUACCAACAUUUUAGGAUCAAACCAAAACUCGUUUAGACUUUAUAAAGCUGGGCAAGGGCUUUUUAAGACCCAGCCCUAGUUUGCUCCUCUCUGGGCGCUGCUCAGUUCGUAGUAUUGACUGCCAGCUUCUCAGAAGAUAGCAGCAAUGAAUCUGGCAGCUGGAACGUGUCUCCGUCCUCUCUGCCUACCCCAGGAGAUUGUGUCUGCACAUGGCUGUUGUUGGACUCUGGGUGAGUUUUCAAUUAUUGGUUGACAGUGUUUUAAGAAGGUUACAGUCCAUCAACAAGAGUGCUUGCUUCAUGGUCCUCUCCUCGCUGAAUCAGCUCUAAGGUGACCCUCUGUUUGGGAUCCUCCUUAACCACUAGGAAGCUCUCAGCUGAGUUUCCCAUCCAACCUUGGUAGCUCUGCAAGGCCUUACAGCAAGUGUUCUGCACACUAAUUUCCCCGGCCUCCUUUUCUUCUACUUUUCUUCUGAUUUGUUUUUAACAUCUUAUUACAGCAUAAAAUUUUAUAAACCAAUACUUAUAAAUGUAAUAAAUAAAAGCAAAC